UACGUAGGGGCGAGCGUUGUCCGGAAUGAUUGGGCGUAAAGGGCGCGUAGGCGGCCAUGCAAGUCUGGAGUGGAAGUCCAUUUUUCUAAGGGUGGAAUUGCUUUGGAAACUGUGUGGCUGGAGUGCAGGAGAGGUUAUCGGAAUUCCCGGUGUAGCGGUGAAAUGCGUAGAGAUCGGGAGGAACAUCAGUGGCGAAGGCGGGUAACUGGACUGCAACUGACGCUGAGGCGCGAAAGUGUGGGGAGCAAACAGGAUUAGAUACCCCGGUAGU
rnacentral:rRNA from 1 species